GGACUACCCGGGUUUCUAAUCCUGUUUGCUCCCCACGCUUUCGCGGAUGAGCGUCAGAACCGGCCCAGCAAGCCGCCUUCGCCACGGGUGUUCUUCCUGAUAUCUACGCAUUCCACCGCUACACCAGGAAUUCCGCUUGCCUCUACCGGUCUCCAGUCCGCCAGUAUCUUCUGCAUGUCCGGAGUUGAGCCCCGGAGUUUCACAGGAGACUUAACAGACCGCCUGCCCGCGCUUUACGCCCAGUAAUUCCGAACAACGCUUGCGCCCUCCGUCUUACCGCGGCUGCUGGCACCA
rnacentral:misc_RNA from 1 species